rnacentral:tRNA from 1 species
GCCCCGAUGGUGAAAUUGGUAGACACAAGGGACUUAAAAUCCCUCGGCGUAAGCUGUGCCGGUUCGACCCCGGCUCGGGGCA